GCAGCAUUACUGUAAUUACACGCAUGCAGAAAUCAAUGCAACCAAAGACAAAACAACAAAAAAGUGCAUACAUAAAUAAUUCCAAAGAAAACUCAUAAAAAGAGCAGCGCCCCAAAACGAAGUCAUUAACAAUCACAAUCACACAUUCAGACACAUGAAGCAAAAGCGAGAGAGGGAGAAAGAGGGGUGCUGCUGCUGCUGCCACACAUGCAAAUGGCUGGCAAAUUAUAAAGGAGAGAAAAUACUCGUAUAUGCGAUUUGAAUAAUGAGAACAAACGAUCGAUGGAUGGAUGGAUCUCGUUCGGUGAAUCUGUGAACCAUGAAUCGUUCCUUUCGUUCUUCUGCAAUUCCAUGGAUCUCGUUCUGUGCUGAACUUUGAUCUACUUCUUCUAACUGCUGCAAAUGCGGGAGAGAGACAGCAGACAGAGAGGAUUGUCGUUUGUUUCUUUGUCUCCAGCUCACUGGCUUAAUGCAUAUGCGAUGCGAUUACAGUUGGCAGAGCAUUGCAGAGGAGAAGCAGGGAGAGCGAGUA